rnacentral:misc_RNA from 1 species
CACCCCUCAAGCGCUGUAUCGCUUGGCGUUGGGGCUUUUACAGCGGGCAGCUUGCUGCCCCGUAAGCCCCGAAAUUCAGCGGCGGGCCUGCCGGCACACCGAGCGCAGUAAAUUGCUACCGCUCAGGGCGUGGCGGCGCGGCCUAGCCAGCCUCUGUACUUUCUGA